CAGGAUUAUUACGGUAAAAAAGAGAUGGUGCGGGGCAAUCAUAAUUAUUUCUAAGCUUUUUAUUCCGUCAUUGCAAAGUACCAUAGGUUAUUUAUUUGAAAUCAGGAUGACAAAAUGCUCUUAUAAUUUUCAAUAGUAUUAAUAAUAAUAAUUAAUAAUCAGCAAGAUUUGUUGUUUCACUUCCAUUUCGAUACAGAAUCUAGCAAAGCAUUUUGAGCUCAAUUUAUUUACAGAACUUUUUUUUUGUCAGGAGAACAAUGGUAAAAUACAGCAACAUGGAUUAAAACACAUUCUACGUUUCAGGUUACUGCGCUAUAUAUAAACAUAGGUAACCCGGAUAAUUAUAACCAGGUGAAGGCUACCUCAGACACAUUUAAUUUGAACCGCAAGGGAAGGAAAAACUCAUCUUAUGUGGAACUAUGAAAGGCUAUAUCUUUGGUCUAGUGGCAGAAUGAUGAUUUUGUAAGGAGAAAUGGAAAUAUAUGUGGAUUCCUGUCCCCAGAACAUCACGGAUGUUUUAGAGUCGUCCUCCAGGCUGGGAUGUGGUCAGGAUAAGUACGGGAACGAUCAGUAUCUCUGUAUCCCUAACACAGACAAAACAGGACUCAUAGAACUGUGUUACAAUGGAACCAUGGGAUUAAUAAAAAGAGGCAACUGUUUGGAAACCGAUGGAGAAAAUCUUCACUGGAACAACUGCCUUGGAUUUUUAUCAGGUUGUCCUGAAAAGGAAUAUCGAAGCAAUGAAAUAUACAAAU